UACAGAGGUCCCAAGCGUUGUUCGGAUUCAUUGGGCGUAAAGAGCUCGUAGGCGGUCUGUCGCGUCGGCUGUGAAAACCCGAGGCUCAACCUCGGGCCUGCAGUCGAUACGGGCAGACUAGAGUGUGGUAGGGGAGACUGGAAUUCCUGGUGUAGCGGUGAAAUGCGCAGAUAUCAGGAGGAACACCGGCGGCGAAGGCGGGUCUCUGGGCCAUAACUGACGCUGAGGAGCGAAAGCGUGGGGAGCGAACAGG
rnacentral:rRNA from 1 species